GGGACAACUCCGGUCCCUAUCCCCGCGCUCUCCCCUCUCCUCCUCGCCCUCCUCGAUCUGGACCUUACCCGAGCAUAGUCACUGCCGCGCCAUCCCCGUCUUCGCGCUCUGGAGCUUCCCCGAGCCACCGUUGCUCUCCAGGGGCCGUGCCUCGACAUGCUCGAACUCCACAACAACGGAAGCAAGCAGGGGCCUCCCCAGGCCGUCGCCAUCGACACCUCCUUCAAGCUCGGACAACCAAGGACGUCGUCGACCAAUUCGUCGCCGUCGGCUCCCUCCGGCUCCCUCGUCCGCUUCCCUACACCCGUUAUGGUGGAGCCCAGGAUCCAGACGAAACCACCGAUGACUACUACAACCCCGAGGGUGCCUACUACUACGUGGAGGCCGCUGACGACCAGGAGUAGUUAGGAGGCUCCCUGGCAGGAGGCCUUGCCUUUUCGAUCGUUGUUGCUUUUGUGCUAGCCUUCUUAAGGCAAAAUUGUCUAACUUAUGUCUGUACUCAGUUAUUGUUGCUUCCGCCGACCCUUGUGUUUUUGAGCUGAUAUAUUCGAGCCCUCGAGGCCCCUGGCUUGUAAUAUAAGGCUUGUAUUAUUUUAAUUUGUGUCUA